UCAUAUGCUUGUCUCAAAGCUUAAGCCAUGCAAGUGUAAGUUCAUGCCGUAAACGAAUGGUGAAACCGCGAAUGGCUCAGGAACCGGACGUAAUCCUCGGGACCGUAUUCCUCACCGCGAGGAGAGUGGAUAACUGUGGCAAUUCUAGAGCUAAUACAUGCAAUUGAGGCCGCGAUCGCAGGUCGCGCCCGGGAGUCGGACUCAACGGCGUUCGGCAUCGGUCGGUGGUGCGGUUGUCGGCUUCGUUGCCGUCGCCGUGUCCGCCGUGGCCGUUCGUCGCCGGCACCCGCUCGGUCGGUCCGACGAUCCGUCGCCCUUUUCGGGUGACUGUUCGCGCCGGCUGCGAUGACACGGUCGGCCUUGGCAUUGGUCGCGGCGCAAAUAUUAGACUGAGACCGACGCGUUCAAGGCGUCGCAGCAGCCGCCGUCCUCGGCGCCGGCAACCGCCGUUCCGCGGCGGUGUCGCCGGUGGUCGGUGGCGGGCCUCGGGCGUGCGUCGUCACGUCGUUCGAUUUUGGUGACUCUGGAUAACUUGUCAGUACGAUCGCACGGGCUAGAAUCGACUAGCUUUCGCGCGACGGGUCCCCCGCGAGUCCGCCCUAUCAACUGUCGACGGCCCGGUAAGUGCCGACCGUGGUGGCAACGGGUAACGGGGAAUCAGGGUUCGAUUCCGGAGAGGGAGCAUGCGAAACGGCUACCACAUCCAAGGAAGGCAGCAGGCGCGCAAAUUACCCACUCCCGGCACGGGGAGGUAGUGACGAAAAAUAACGACGCGGGACUCUGUCGAGGCCCCGCGAUCGGAAUGAGUACACUUCAAAUCCGUUAACGAGGAUCGACCGGAGGGCAAGUCUGGUGCCAGCAGCCGCGGUAAUUCCAGCUCCGGUAGCGUAUAUUAAAAUUGUUGCGUUUGAAAAGCUCGUAGUCCGAAUUCGGGUGUCGAAAGCGUGCGCCAGCACGUUCGGGGCGACGGCGCCGUUGUAGUCGCGUCUCGCACGCGUCCGCUUCGGUCGUCCGUUCGCACACCCGGCCCUAUUCGCCGGUACGUGUACGGUCGAGCCGUCGAGCUCUGUACGCAUCGUCGCGCUCGCUUACGUUCGACGGUCGUUUUCCUUUUUCUUUUACGUUCCGCCUCGUCCGCGCGUGUUUCGUGCUCGGUGUGCGCGCGUGUUCGUCGGCGUUUCGCGUCGUCGUCGUGCGCGUUGCCGCCGCGCUCGCGGGCGGCCGCCGGUGGUCCGUAAUUUUGGGGGAUGUCCUUCGUUCGCGGGUACGUCGCGGUCGCGCGUCCACCUCGCGGUAUUCGUCGAUCGGCACGGUUCCUCCGAGGGUGCUCUUUGCCGAGUGUCCGAGGCGGCCGGUACGUUCACUGUGAAAAAAUUAGAGUGCUCAGAGCGAGCCCCGCCGGCUUGCAUACGAAAAGCAUGGAAUGAUGGAAAAUGGCCUCGUCCGCGCGUCAUCCGUCGGUCUCCGUUCACGACGAGGCAAUGAUCGAAGGGAGCGAUCGGGGCCACUCGUAUUGCGGCGUUAGAGGUGAAAUUCUUGGAUCGUCGCAAGACGCCCAGCAGCGAUGGCGUGUGGCAAGCACGUUUUCCUCGAUCAAGAGCGAAAGUCGGAGGUUCGAAGACGAUCAGAUACCGUCGUAGUUCCGACCGUAAACGAUGCCGACUGGCGCUCCGCCGGCGUUCGCUUCGAUGACCCGGCGGUGAGCCUGCGCGGGAAACCAUAGUCGGUUCCGGGGGGAGUAUGGUUGCAAAACUUAAACUUAAAGGAAUUGACGGAAGGGCACCACCAGGAGUGGAGCCUGCGGCUUAAUUUGACUCAACACGGGAAAACUCACCCGGUCCGGACACCGGUAGGAUUGACAGAUCGAUAGCUCUUUCUCGAUUCGGUGGGUGGUGGUGCAUGGCCGUUCUUAGUUGGUGGAGCGAUCCGUCUGGUUGAUUCCGAUAACSAACGAGACUCCGGCCUGCUAACUAGUGCGCCGAUGUGAGUGAUUUUUAYGGCGGGCUCGCGGUGUCCAUCAUGGCKCCCGGGUCCGGGUCGGUCGGUUUCUCACGCACUUCUUAGAGGGACGGGUGGCAGAAAKCCACACGAGGCGGAGCGAUAACAGGUCUGUGAUGCCCUUAGAUGUCCGGGGCCGCACGCGCGCUACACUGGAGGUAUCAGCGGGGACUUCGCCCCGGCCCGAGAGGGUUGGGAAACCUCUUAACCACCUCCCGUGAUAGGGAUCGGGGCCUGUAACCAACCCCGUGAACGAGGAAUUCCCGGUAGGCGCGGGUCAACAGCCCGCGUCGAUCACGUCCCUGCCCUUUGUACACACCGCCCGUCGCUACUACCGAUCGAACGGUCCGGUGAGGUCCUCGGAUCUGGCCGACGACGCUGCCCGGCUGUGCACGAUGUGGGCAACGAUACUCGUCUCAGCCUCGGCGUUCGAUGCCUGGAGAAGACGACCGAACCCGAUCGUUUAGAGGAAGUAAAAGUCGUAACAAGGUUUCC
rnacentral:rRNA from 1 species